rnacentral:rRNA from 1 species
GUGAGGAAUAUUGGUCAAUGGGCGGGAGCCUGAACCAGCCAAGUCGCGUGAAGGAAGAAGGAUCUAUGGUUCGUAAACUUCUUUUGCAGGGGAAUAAAGUGCGGGACGUGUCCUGUUUUGUAUGUACCCUGAGAAUAAGGAUCGGCUAACUCCGUGCCAGCAGCCGCGGUAAUACGGAGGAUCCGAGCGUUAUCCGGAUUUAUUGGGUUUAAAGGGUGCGUAGGUGGUUUGAUAAGUCAGCGGUGAAAGUUUGCAGCUUAACUGUAAAAAUGCCGUUGAAACUGUCGGACUGGAGUGUAAAUGAGGUAGGCGGAAUGCGUGGUGUAGCGGUGAAAUGCAUAGAUAUCACGCAGAACUCCGAUUGCGAAGGCAGCUUACUAAGCUACAACUGACACUGAAGCACGAAAGCGUGGGGAUCAAACAGGAUUAGAAACCCGGGUAGUCC